rnacentral:lncRNA from 1 species
CUGAAAUCUCAUGAGCGCCUGCCUGCUUUUGACAGCACAGAGAGAAUAAAGGGAAUCUCCACAGAGAAUGAAAAAUAGUGACAACAUCUCUAAACACAACAUUGAGACAGUAACCUGAGUAGCCUGUUCCAGUCCUAGCAGCUGUACUUCUCAUGCCACAAGAAGCAGAGAGUCGGACCAAACCAAACACAGAGGCCGCAAAGCCACACAGCCACCCACUGAGAGGUUCCAAUGGCUGCCCAGGCGUGAGCACCUCAGGUAGGAUGAAGAAGCAGGAGGAGAUAUGGAUCACGGGCAGGACAACCAGGCCAAUCCAAAGUCCAUGUCUGAAUGUCAGUGCCUUUGAAAUGUCUACUGUGCAGAACACAUGAAAAGCACUGCAGGGAGGGUGACGAGACAAAGAGAAAACAGAUCAUGCAAAUAUGAAUCAAGUGAGUACACUAGUGGAAUAUCAAUUAUGACAAAGGAAUAAUGCACACAAGGAGCCCCAAGGCACGAAAG